rnacentral:lncRNA from 1 species
AAACUGUUUUCCACAGUGACGGUAGCCUUUGAUGUUCCGCCAGCAACGUGUAAGAGUUCUGAUUUCAAGAUGAUGGAGACUUUGGGACCUAGUUCUAAUCUGAGGUUGCCUAAGGACUUGAUUUACUAUGUAACAACAAUUCUGAAUGUUUGUAGACAUGAGGUAUGCCAUUCUCCUGUGAAUUAUGCCUCGAAUCUGACCACUGGGUUAGGGAUGACCUUUGUCACUGAUGGUUCUGGAAAUGAAGCCUCUCUACUGAAUGAGAACAGCAUUUCACAAGAACAGCACAGAACAAUUCAGAAGCUGGAGAGGGGUUCUGUUUUCAUGCCUGCUGAAGCUGUCCAUCACAAGGUAGAAACUUAUCAUUUCCACCCUCUGCCAUUGAGAUAAGAUAGAAGGAGAACUUCCUCAUUGGCCUGGUAUAGAAUAAGAGAUUCUCAUGGUUCUGUUUUCUCAUCUGUUCAUUUU